GACGAACGCUGGCGGCGUGCUUAACACAUGCAAGUCGAACGGUGAACCUCUUCGGAGGGGAUCAGUGGCGAACGGGUGUGUAACACGUGGGCAACCUGCCCCCGGCUCUGGGAUAACUCCAAGAAAUUGGGGCUAAUACCGGAUGUUCACCGCUUCCCGCAUGGGUGGUGGUGGAAAGGGUUUCCGGCUGGGGAUGGGCCCGCGGCCUAUCUGCUUGUUGGUGGGGUAGUGGCCUACCAAGGCGACGACGGGUAGCCGGCCUGAGAGGGUGACCGGCCACACUGGGACUGAGACACGGCCCAGACUCCUACGGGAGGCAGCAGUGGGGAAUAGUGCGCAAUGGGCGGAAGCCUGACGCAGCGACGCCGCGUGGGGGAUGACGGCCUUCGGGUUGUAAACCUCUUUCAGCAGGGACGAAGCGCAAGUGACGGUACCUGCAGAAGAAGCACCGGUCAACUACGUG
rnacentral:rRNA from 1 species